rnacentral:rRNA from 1 species
UGCAGAUCCCGGCGGUAGUAACAGCAAAGCCGGGUGAGAAUCCCGGCCGCCGAAAGGGCCAGGGUUCCUCGGCAAUGCGUCGUCAGCCGAGGGUCAGCCGGUCCUAAGGUGGGGCGUAACUCGUACCCACCGAAAGGGAAACCGGUUAAUAUUCCGGUGCCGUGGGGGUACGAUUGCGGCAACGCAAGCCCAGCCUCUGACGCUUCGGGGUAGGCUGAGUGGAGCUGCCGCUCCACCCAACCGCUGAAGCCCGGGGAGUGCCGUAAUGGCGAGAACCGGGUGAAGGCGGGAUGGGCCGCCCUUAGGCGGUUCAGCCGACCCCCGGAGCCCUUGAAAAGGAGGCUGGGAAGGAUCCCCCACGUCCGUACCAAGAACCGACACAGGUGUCCCUGGGUGAGAAGCCCAAGGCGUGUCGGGACUACCCCGGGCCAGGGAACUCGGCAAAUUAGCCCCGUAACUUCGGGAGAAGGGGUGCCUGGGGUCUUCGGCUGAAGCCGGGGACCUCAGGUCGCAGUGACAAGGGGGACCCGACUGUUUAAUAAAAACAUAGGUCCCCGCGAGCCCGUAAGGGUGUGUACGGGGGCUGAAUCCUGGCCACUGGCGGUCCGUGAAACCCGGGUCCAACCGGGCGAAGCGCCGCUGAAGGCCGGGAGUAACUCUGACUCUCUUAAGGUAGCCAAAUGCCUUGCCGGGUAAGUUCCGGCGCGCAUGAAUGGAUCAACGAGGUCCCCGCUGUCCCGGCCCGGGGCCCGGUGAACCCACCUGGUGGUGCAAAGUCCACCAACCCCCAGCGGGGCGAGAAGACCCCGUGGAGCUUUACCGCAGCCUGCCGCUGGGGUAUGGUCGCAGUUGCAUAGCGUAGGCGGGAGCUGGUGAAGUAGCCCUUUCGGGGGCUAUGGAGGCGCCCAUGGAACACCGCCCUUCUGCGACUGUGCCUCUAACCCGGCCUUGUAGCCGGGGACAACGGCAGGUGGGCGGUUUGGCUGGGGCGGCACGCCCGCGAAAAAAUAACACGGGCGCCCAAAGGUCGGCUCAGGCGGGUCAGAACCCCGCCGUAGAGGGCAAGGCCAAAAGCCGGCCUGACUGCGCCCUCAAAAGCAAGGGGCGCAGGGGGGAAACCCGGGCCUAGCGAACGCUUGUGCCCCCUUCGGUGGGGGCCAGGCAUGACAGAAAAGUUACCCCGGGAGUAACCGGCUCGUCGCGGGUGAGAGCUCACAUCGACCCCGCGGUUUGGUACCCAGACGUCGUCUCUUCCCAUCCUGGGAGUGCAGCAGCUCCCAAGGGUGGGGCUGCUCGCCCAUUAAAGGGGAACGUGAGAUGGGUUUAGACCGUCGCGAGACAGGUCGGACUCUACCUGCUGGGGGUGUUGGCCGCCUGAGGGGAAGGUGCCCCUAGUACGAGAGGAACGGGGCGCCGCGGCUUCUGGUGUACCGGUUGUCCGGCAGGGCAUCGCCGGGCAGCCACGCCGCAGGGGAUAACCGCUGAAAGCAUCUAAGCGGGAAGCCCUCCCCGAAAAGAGGCGGCCAUUC